AUAGUUCCGCAUUUGAAGCGUGUUCUCUGCGUGCGCUGCGUGCGGUUACAACAGUUACAAUUCGUGCGCACUCUGAAAUUUGGGUUCGCGGAGCUGGUUGUAAUCGAAGAGCUUGCAUACGCUUGGCGGGAAGCACGCGCCAUGGAAAGCGAAUACGAGAGCUCAUCGCACAUACCAGUAUCC